rnacentral:rRNA from 1 species
GUGGGGAAUAUUGGACAAUGGGCGAAAGCCUGAUCCAGCCAUGCCGCGUGAGUGAUGAAGGCCUUAGGGUUGUAAAGCUCUUUCAGUAGGGAAGAUAAUGACGGUACCUACAGAAGAAGCCCCGGCUAACUUCGUGCCAGCAGCCGCGGUAAUACGAAGGGGGCUAGCGUUGUUCGGAUUUACUGGGCGUAAAGCGCACGUAGGCGGUUUGUUAAGUCAGGGGUGAAAUCCCGGAGCUCAACUCCGGAACUGCCUUUGAUACUGGCAAGCUAGAGUCCGGAAGAGGUAAGUGGAACUCCUAGUGUAGAGGUGGAAUUCGUAGAUAUUAGGAAGAACACCAGUGGCGAAGGCGGCUUACUGGUCCGGAACUGACGCUGAGGUGCGAAAGCGUGGGGAGCAAACAGGAUUAGAAACCCUUGUAGUCC